UGAGGAAUAUUGGUCAAUGGGCGCGAGCCUGAACCAGCCAAGUAGCGUGAAGGAUGAAGGUCCUACGGAUUGUAAACUUCUUUUAUACGGGAAUAAAGUGGUCCACGUGUGGACUUUUGCAUGUACCGUAUGAAUAAGCAUCGGCUAACUCCGUGCCAGCAGCCGCGGUAAUACGGAGGAUGCGAGCGUUAUCCGGAUUUAUUGGGUUUAAAGGGAGCGCAGACGGGGGAUUAAGUCAGUUGUGAAAGUUUGCGGCUCAACCGUAAAAUUGCAGUUGAUACUGGUUCCCUUGAGUGCAGUUGAGGCAGGCGGAAUUCGUGGUGUAGCGGUGAAAUGCAUAGAUAUCACGAAGAACCCCGAUUGCGAAGGCAGCCUGCUAAGCUGUAACUGACGUUGAGGCUCGAAAGUGUGGGUAUCAAACAGGAUUAGAUACCCUGGUAGUCCACACGGUAAGCGAUGGAUACUCGCUGUUGGCGAUAUACUGUCAGCGGCCAAGCGAAAGCAUUAAGUAUCCCACCUGGGGAGUACGCCGGCAACGGUGAAACUCAAAGGAAUUGACGGGGGCCCGCACAAGCGGAGGAACAUGUGGUUUAAUUCGAUGAUACGCGAGGAACCUUACCCGGGCUUAAAUUGCAGACGAAUUACUUGGAAACAGGUAAGCCGCAAGGCGUCUGUGAAGGUGCUGCAUGGUUGUCGUCAGCUCGUGCCGUGAGGUGUCGGCUUAAGUGCCAUAACGAGCGCAACCCUCGUGGCCAGUUACUAGCAGGUAACGCUGAGGACUCUGGCCAGACUGCCAUCGCAAGAUGCGAGGAAGGUGGGGAUGACGUCAAAUCAGCACGGCCCUUACGUCCGGGGCUACACACGUGUUACAAUGGGAGGUACAGAAGGCAGCUACCCGGCGACGGGAUGCCAAUCUCCAAAGCCUCUCUCAGUUCGGACUGGAGUCUGCAACCCGACUCCACGAAGCUGGAUUCGCUAGUAAUCGCGCAUCAGCCACGGCGCGGUGAAUACGUUCCC
rnacentral:rRNA from 1 species